GCGGGCGUGGCGAAACGGCAGACGCGUAUGGUUCAGGUCCAUAUGGAGGCAACUCCUUGGGGGUUCAAAUCCCUUCGCCCGCACCA
rnacentral:tRNA from 1 species